rnacentral:lncRNA from 1 species
CAAGCUAGGCCAUAAAACAAAUCUCAAUACAUUUAAAAUUAUAGAAAUAGUACAAAGUUUAUGUUCUUUGAACACAAUGGAAGACACUAGAAAUCAAUAACAGGAAAAAAAUUUAGGAAACUCACAAAUACGUGGAAAUUAAGCAAUGUACUUCUAAAUAACCAAACGGUCAAAGAAGAAACCAGGUUCCAAGAACUGCGCUCCUUCCUGGCCCUUUCAGCCUGUGGUGUGUAUAACGUGAAUCUAAUCAUGAGGAACCCUCAGACAAAUCCAAACUGAGGAACAUUCUACAAAAUAACUGGCCUGCACUCUUCAAAAAUGUCAAGAUCAAUAAAGACAGAGAAACGUUAAGAAAGUGUUCCAGAUUAAAGAAGACUAAAGAGAGGAGAUGCAUGCUGAAGUAAUUAGCAGUAAUAGACAUGACGUCUGCAACUUAUCCUCAAAUGAUGCAUAAAAUGAUCUCUCAAGGCCAGCAGAUUCCCAAAAGGGCAGAAUAAGGAGCUGGGGGUAAAGAAGACGGAGUCACAUGCCAGAAGUCCUGAUACCCGGUGUCUGCAGAUCCACCCUUACCUAAAAGGAAAAUAAAAGUCAGGAGCCAACCUCGACCAGCAGAACCACAGAGAAUUUAGGGCAUGCUCAUCCCACAACCACUGCACUCAGAGGGGCUUUGCAGAGAUUCAGCCAGGCCUGUGACUCAGGGGUCAAGCCGUGAUAGCAAAUUCACAGCUGGGACACCUCCAUCUUUAACACCUGGGACUAAAACUGCCACUGGGACAAUAAAGGGGAAACAAGCCCUCUAGAGCCCUUCUGGCCAAGGGUGUGGAGAAUCCUCUUCUGCAGAUACCUGUGGAGGUGAUUCAAGGUGUGAUACUCCCAGCUUUGCCAUCCCCGACACAAGUCCCCAGGGGAAGGUCAUUUAAUUCCACAGCACCUGGGAGCUUAGAGAAGCUGCUGAGCUCUUUGUGCUCUGGG